AAUUGGUUGGCAGAUUUAAUGCACCUGAUUUAGGCUCAGCCCAUGGGAAUUUUUCUCACCAAUUA
rnacentral:tRNA from 1 species